AUUGCAACACCGAUUUGACAAGAGUAAUUCGCCCUGCCAGCGAAAGAUGUCUUUUCUUCCAACUUGCCACUUUGUUUGAGACUUUAUCAACCAAAAACUUCCAAUCUCCAACACCAUUGCUGCGCCCCCCCACUUUAGUACCCAAGUAUUUGCACGGAAAGGAUCCGAUCUUGCACAUGAGUAGCGAUGCCCAUCUCCUCUCAACUGCCUCAUCCACUCCCACUGUCAGAAGACAGCUUUUGUCGAAAUUUACAGCUAAACCAGAGACGAACUGGAAGAGAAUCAGUAGUUUCUUUACGCUCUCCAUAUUCUUGUCAUCUGCCUCCAACAAGAAGAUAGUAUCGUCCGCGUACUGCAGAUGUGAAAUUGGUACUUUAUCCUUG
rnacentral:lncRNA from 1 species